AUAUAUGCUUGUAUCAUAUUGGCUCUUCAAUGCAUACUCAUUGUAGACCGAGGCCAAUGAUGGAACAGUUACAAAGAUCAAUGUGUAAACAUAUGCACCCGUUGCAACUGGAAGGCCCAUUGCAGUAGCACCUUCAGGUAAAGAACGCAGCUGAUUUACACUAAUCCCAAUAAGCAACAAAGCAAGAGCUUCCCACUGAAGUAUAGAAAACCGGCGCCUCAUUAUUAUCUUUAGCAACACAGCAAUCACCAAAACCUUCAGAUUGCUUAGCAUCUUCACUGUCGCAGGAUUGAAAUAUAGCUGCAUGGUGAACUUUAGAUAGUUAUUGAUAGCAUACAGAAGAGCUGGAACAGCUAGAAGAACAUUAUUGCGAGCUGCCUGUACAAAUGUAGAAAAUGA
rnacentral:misc_RNA from 1 species